UACGUAGGGGGCAAGCGUUGUCCGGAAUUAUUGGGCGUAAAGCGCGUGUAGGCGGCUGGAUAAGUCUGCUGUGAAAGUCCAGGGCUCAACCCUGGGAUGCCGGUGGAUACUGUCGAGCUCGAGUCCGGAAGAGGCGAGUGGAAUUCCUGGUGUAGCGGUGAAAUGCGCAGAUAUCAGGAAGAACACCAAUGGCGAAGGCAGCUCUCUGGGACGGUACUGACGCUGAGACGCGAAAGCGUGGGGAGCGAACAGG
rnacentral:rRNA from 1 species